rnacentral:lncRNA from 1 species
CAAUAUGGCUACUGGGUGUAAAAGAUAAAUCUUAUUCUAUCUGUUCUUAAUGAGUUUUAGAUAAUUUUAGUUGUAUUUCUUUGUAAUUUUGUGUUGUACAAAGAUUAAUUUAACAUUUUCUCUGGAAGUAUUAAUUUAGAAAGAUAAUAUGCUUCAUUGGUGUUGUGUUUUGAAGUGUGAAAUGCAAAGUAAUUGUGAUAGUUAAAUGCAAGAUAAAGUUCACUUUUAAACUGAACUAAAUAAGGUAUCUGAGAGACAACAAUGGUUAAAUGCAAUACAAUGUACAGGUUUUACUAGCGAAAUGAAAAUUUUCCUGUCCUGUCUGCUGUAAUCAUUUUAUAUCUGGAAAACCAGCCGACUUAAUCGAUAAUAACAAUCUCCAGAUUGGGUUCCUUCAAUAAAUAUGGGCUAUAAACACAAUAAAAUAAGUUCCCCAAAAUCUAAAAUGGAGUGCUAUCAAAGGAGAAUUAAAGGAAAAAA